GUGAGUAAUGCCUUUUAGCAGUCUUUUGUUAAAACUGGUCACUCCAAUGUUUUCUCUUAGAAGUUUAUGCAAGAUGGAAAAGCUCUCAGCUUCUGAUCCCUGUGGGAAGUGGCCCUGGAUGGAACCCAACCCCUGUUCUUGAUAAAUUGGAAGGAUUAAUGCUGCCAUUCGAUUCUGGAUGUUGCUAGCUUCUUGGAUCCCCAAACAAUCUGGAUGAAGGUCCUUACGUGGAAGGAUGGGUUCGAGUUAUCUCUUGUAUCUUUCCCCAGUGCUAUACUCUUAUCUUCAGAUAUGUGAAACUUAUUUCCUCUAUCAUAAGGAAUCCAUUUAAAGGAAAUUGAUAUUUUGGUCCUAACUAUAAAGGAUCCAAGAGAGGAAAUUUGCAAGGAGGGGAGAGGAGUGAAUACUGUGGAAAUUAAAUUCCAACUGGACCUUGA